rnacentral:tRNA from 1 species
GGCCCUUAGCUCAGUGGUUAGAGCAGGCGACUCAUAAUCGCUUGGUCGUUGGUUCAAACCCAACAAGGCCACCA